AGCGAACGCUGGCGGCAGGCUUAACACAUGUAAGUCGAGCAGGCACUUUCGGGUGUCAGCGGCGGACGGGUGAGUAACGCGUGGGAACGUGCCCUCUGGUUCGGAAUAACUCAGGGAAACUUGAGCUAAUACCGGAUACGCCCUUUUGGGGAAAGGCUUGCUGCCGGAGGAUCGGCCCGCGUCUGAUUAGCUAGUUGGUGAGGUAACGGCCCACCAAGGCGACGAUCAGUAGCUGGUCUGAGAGGAUGAUCAGCCACACUGGGACUGAGACACGGCCCAGACUCCUACGGAAGGCAGCAGUGGGUAAUAUUGGACAAUGGGCGCAAGCCUGAUCCAGCCAUGCCGCGUGAGUGAUGAAGGCCUUAGGGUUGUAAAGCUCUUUUAUCCGGGACGAUAAUGACGGUACCGGAGGAAUAAGCCCCGGCUAACUUCGUG
rnacentral:rRNA from 1 species